rnacentral:rRNA from 1 species
GAUGAACGCUAGCUACAGGCUUAACACAUGCAAGUCGAGGGGCAGCAUGAACAUAGCUUGCUAUGUUUGAUGGCGACCGGCGCACGGGUGCGUAACACGUAUCCAAUCUGCCCGUUACUCGGGGAUAGCCUUCUGAAAGGAAGAUUAAUACCCGAUGGCAUUCAUUGGCGGCAUCGCUUUUGAAUUAAAGAUUUAUCGGUAACGGAUGAGGAUGCGUACGAUUAGCUAGUUGGCGGGGUAACGGCCCACCAAGGCUACGAUCGUUAGGGGUUCUGAGAGGAAGGUCCCCCACACUGGAACUGAGACACGGUCCAGACUCCUACGGGAGGCAGCAGUGAGGAAUAUUGGUCAAUGGGCGAGAGCCUGAACCAGCCAAGUAGCGUGAAGGAUGACUGCCCUACGGGUUGUAAACUUCUUUUGUUUGGGAAUAAAAGACGCUACGUGUAGCGUUCUGCAUGUACCUUACGAAUAAGCAUCGGCUAAUUCCGUGCCAGCCGCCGCGGUAAAAC